ACUGCAGUGACCCGCUGGUCACUGUAUUGAUGCUGAGAUGUUCACCAUUAAUAAAUAACAGUUAAGCAAGUGAAAUGCUUUAACCAUCCAUUUUGUAUAAGGGUAUAAUCUAUAGACAGAAUAUAUAUGAAACACGGUGAUAGCAGAGACGAACUUGUCGGCAGAAAAAUGACUUUUGCCAUCGAGUGACUGAGUAGCAAACAUGGAAGUGGCUAGCCAACAGUGAGCUAUGUAGCUAGCUAGAAAGAAGGCCACCAAAGCAGCUGACAGCAGAGAGAGAAACCGUGUUGCAAGACGGAGAGCGUACUUGGAUUAAAACCACCAUCGACAUUAUCCUUGGACACAAACAACCUGGCGAAGACAUGGAAAUCGUGGAAAGAGGAGUUUACAAUCUACCUGGAUCUUACACCGAAAAAGUGAAACUUUUCUACUAUCUAAUUGAAGAUGGUAGGGAGCUGUGUGAGACAUUGACGUGUUCAAUUUCGGCGAGGAGGACAGUGAAUUUAGAGGUGAUUGCUGUCUGGAAGGAAACUACAAGAUCAAAAUGAACCAGAAGGUGGAGCCAGUGAAACUACCUAAAAGAAGAGUUCCAGUUGCAGUGAUGAAGCUGUUGAAAGAAGAGCGGAGCAGCUUUCAGCGCAGAAUGAUUAUUACACCUGUGGAGAAAAGCACCGACUGGAUAAGCAGCCUUGUGAUCGUGAAGAAACCAAAUGGUAAACAGAAUGUGUAGACCCCAGACCACUGAAUAAAGCACUAAAGAGAAGUCCAUUUCCCCAACCAACAACAGAUUACAUAUUUUCGAACCUGUCUAAAGCAAGAGAACUCACAGUGUGUGACAUGAAGCUAUCUGACCACAUUCUCUACACCGUGUGGCAGAUACAAAUGGUUGAAGAUGCCGAUGGGGAUUAGCCAAGCACCUGACAUUUUUCAAAGGAAAUUGAGCCAAGCACUGUUCUGAUUACAGUAUUGUGGAUGUGAGGAGGGGUCCGAGUGUCUGUGUGCAGACAUGUUGUGAAAGGUGUUGGUGGGGUGACAGAGGCUAUUGUGUUGAUCAAGGUGCUAUUGUAUUGGGACCUAUUGUGACACGGUGAGGGUUGAUGUGAUGGGUUAGUUAGGAUGAGGGUUCCAUGUCUGGGAUGACACCCAUACCCCAUUGUCCAAUUUCUGUAAUCAGAAUGAGUUGUGAGAAUGCUUGAAGUUGUGAUGGGCUAAUCAGGAGGGAGGUUCUUGUGUUUGUGUGUAUUGGUGGGGAGGGGCUGGUGAUGUGGGUCUGGAAAGUUCUACUCUAAAAACGCUUAUGUUGGGGCACGAGUGGAACAUUUCAGAUGGCCAAGUCUGUGGUUAUUUUUUCUUGCCCUGUAGACGGGUGUGAGGGUCAUAUUGUGAUCCUGGGGGUAGUGUAUAGGGCUAUAUGUUUUUUUAAAUGUAAAAUGUAUUUAACUAGGCAAGUCAGUUAAGAACAAAUUCUUACUUAGAUCAUAAGGCCAAACCCGGAUGAUGCUGGGCCAAUUGUAUGCUGCCCUAUGGGACUCCCAAUCACGGCCAGCUGUGAUACAGCCCAGAUUCGAACCAGGGUCUGUAAUGACACCCUUUGCACUGAGAUGCAGACCGCUGCGCCACUCGGGAGCCCUUAUGUAAGACAGAAUACUUGGUGCUUUUGAUCGAGUUGACUUCUUGGUCAAUUGUGGGACAAUUGUUUGGUUAUACCCUUGAUCAGUGGUAGUGUAUUAGGCUAUUUGGGGAGCCAAAGAUCAGUUGUGACUUUGGAUCAAGUUUGUGGGUGAAGAGGAGGGGUGUUGCGCAUGUUGAAACCGUUUUGGUGUUUAAGGUAUGGGUUUCGUUGGGAAGCCUAUUGAAAAUGUUUUGGAAUGGGGUCUGUGUUGAAAGCCAACAAUUUUAAUCAAACUGGUUAGGGGUAGGCUUAGGCCUGGCCCAGUGUGUCACACCCUGAUCUGUUUCACCUGUCCUAGUUACUGUCUCCACCCCCUCCAGGUGUUGCUUGUUUUCCCCAGUGUAUUUAUCCCUGUGUUUCCUGUCUCUCUGUGUCAGUUUGUCUUGUAUGUUCCAAAUCAACCAGCGGUGUAGUUCCUGUUGUCCUACCUUUGAUAUUCUCCUUUUUUCUAGUCCUCCUGAUUUUUGACCCUUGCCUGUUUCUGGACUCUGUACCCGCCUGCCUGACUAUUCUGCCUGCCUUGACCUCCUGGACUCUGAUCUGGUUUUGACCUUUUGCCUGUCCAUGACCAUUCUCUUUCCAUGACCAUUCUCUCAUUCUCACAUAAAUCAAAAUGGCGCAUUUUUCAAAACGCACAUCAAUCAAAUUGCCGCAUGUUUCAAAACUCACAUUUUCAAUUGACUGAGUACACCAAACCAAGUGAUCAAAAAUGUUGACACUGUAUAUGACAUACAUUUUAUGAUAUGGAAAUGUGAAGUGCACAUUUAGAAUCACGAGGUACAUUAGAUCACCCCCAGUUAAUUUGCUGUCACACUAAUACAAGAUGGCCCCUCUAUAGACCCUUUGUAAUUGUAAUUGAAGCCGUAGCCUGGUUUUGAGUACGAUGAACGUAGAUUUAAUUAUUAGAUUUGAUUUUUAAGAUCAAGAAGGAUCUCCCUCUCUCUCUCAGUUUUCUAGAAAUAAGGAUUACAUUUUAAAUCCUAGAUAUUAGUGUUUGGCACCAAUAUCGCUAUUUCAAUCUUGAUAUCAAUAUGAGAAAGGCAUAUCAUGACAUUUAAUUUCUCUGAGCUCUUUACAGCAAUGAUAAUUAAAAUAUACAAUUAUAUUUGGGGAGCUUAUUGAAACUAUUUUGCAAUUGGAUCUGGGUUGAAAUCCAACAUUGUAAUCAAACUGGUUAGGGGUAGGCUUAGACCACAAGAGCAUUACACCUGCCCCAGUGGGAAAUCAACAAGCACAGUUGUCCGGACUUCACAGAGCCUUCUUUUUCAAUCACUUCGGUGCAAUUAAACAAAAGUAUGUGGUACAUAAGCACACAAUUGCUUUUCAAAAUGCAAUAUUCACUUUACUUUAAUAGAAUUUUCUAUCACUUAAUGAAUCAAACUGCUCAAAACUACUAACCACUGAAACAAAACUAUGUAGUGCCUGGUUUUACUGACAUAGUUUGAUAACUGCUGAAGACUGUAAAGGUGUAUAUUUGUGACUCGUUCCAGGAAACUAGGUGUAUAUUGCCUGCCACUACUUCACAGGAGAGGCAUUUGAACGUAUACAUGUAUUUUUUUGAUCAAAAUGCAUUUUGGGCAGAAAUGCCUUCUGGAACAUGUGAACGUUCAUGUACGUUAAUAACAAACUUGUAUGCCCUCUGUAAAUACAAAUAAAUAUAAAAAAUACCAGCCUAGUUGGAUUAGACACAUAAAAAGACAGGAACCUUCCCUCUACCCAUGAUUGGCUGAGAAAAUGGAUGGGUUGGACAUGCCGAGAGAUGCCAUGUAGCAUGCGUCUGUCUAUAACAUGAGCUGUUCAGUAUGUGUAGAUAAUUGUUACCACAGCAUUUAUUAAAGAUAUGAAGAACCUCAAACGUGUUGCUCCUGCUCUCCAUUUUCUGAAGGACGAGCGUGCCAUGCUGACUCUCUCUGACUCUGAAAAAGAAUCAAACGAUGAGGAAAUCCCUGAAUUAAGGAGAUGAGAUGGAGAUCAAAUUUCAAUAUUGAAACAAUGUGCAAAUGUUGGAGAGACAGACACCAAGGUUAUACAAAUCUGCUGUUGAAAAACUAAAUGUUAUUCUAUAAGAAAUGUGCGAUAAUGUCUAGAUGCUUUUUAUAGUGGAGAUCAAGUUUAUAAAUUGCUUGGCUUGGCUGAUGAGACAGUGGAUUGCACAGUCAGAUGGAACAAAGUAAAUAAACAUUUUAACGUCAUAGAUUUAGCUGGUGGUAACUUGUGGAAUAGACACCGGCUGGAAUGCAGUUUUAACCAAUCAUCAUUCAGGAUUAGACCCAUCCGUUGUAUAAAACAAUAUAUUCCAUACAUUAUCUGCAUUUCAUUGAUACACAUACUUAUAUUGUUAACAGAUGACAAAAUUGUAACUAUCACUUAAUCAAACUGCUCAAAACGGAUAACUACUGUACCAAAAUGAUAUAGUGCCUAGUAACAUACCCUGAACAAAAAUGUAAUCGCAACAUGUAAAGUGUUGGUUUCAUGAGCUGAAAUAAAAUAUCCC
rnacentral:lncRNA from 1 species